UACGUAGGGUCCAAGCGUUAAUCGGAAUUACUGGGCGUAAAGCGUGCGCAGGCGGUUCGUUAAGUCAGCUGUGAAAUCCCCGAGCUUAACUUGGGAACUGCCGUUGAUACUAUAGAUCUUGAAUAUCGUGGAGGUAAGCGGAAUAUGUCAUGUAGCGGUGAAAUGCUUAGAUAUGACAUAGAACACCAAUUGCGAAGGCAGCUUACUACACGAUCAUUGACACUGAGGCACGAAAGCGUGGGGAGCAAACAGG
rnacentral:rRNA from 1 species